rnacentral:lncRNA from 1 species
AUGAUUACUCCUAGAAUUUUAGGGAAAUUGGAAGAUGACUCAGCUGGCUUUGAGGAAGGCAGAGAUCCAGAGCGCUUGGCUUUUUCCUCCAGGCUGCAUGGAUUUCCUGCUUCAUUCUGUGACUCACUAGGCUGGCUUUAUAAAACCUUAGACAAAGCCCUGGCUGUGGAAGAGCUGUUGGAUUGAUACCAAUUGUUGAAAGAGAUCUGCCAACCUAAAGGUUUCUCCAUGUCUCCUCAAAAUCAUAGACUCAUUCUUCUAACAUGGAGGGCUUUUUUAGCUUCCAGAAAGUGGGCAGGAAGACAGACUAUAAACAACUUUACUGUUCAAUUGUGAAGGCAACAUGACACUUCUUUGCACAAGAAGAUGUGGUGAAGUUUUAACAAAUGAGUGCAUUCAUACAUAGACUCCAUAAGAAAAGCAUUGGGAAAGCAAGAUUGAUGCCCCUAAACAGUCGUUUCUUGUUCUUAAUUUGGUGAAAAAUAAAAGAUCGUGUCUUCACCUGCUAGUUCCUUGG